GAUGAAGAACGAAGCGAAAUGCGAUAAGUAAUGUGAAUUGCAGAAUUCAGUGAAUCAUCGAAUCUUUGAACGCACAUUGCGCCCCCUGGUAUUCCGGGGGGCAUGCCUGUUCGAGCGUCAUUUCACCACUCAAGCCUCGCUUGGUAUUGGGCAACGCGGUCCGCCGCGUGCCUCAAAUCGACCGGCUGGGUCUUCUGUCCCCUAAGCGUUGUGGAAACUAUUCGCUAAAGGGUGUUCGGGAGGCUACGCCGUAAAACAACCCCAUUUCUAAGGUUGACCUCGGAUCAGGUAGGGAUACCCGCUGAACUUAAGCAUAUCAAUAAGCGGAGGA
rnacentral:misc_RNA from 1 species